GGAAGGCUGGUGAGCACAUGAGACCAGUCAUACGCCCAUCACCGUAAGGUCCUGAUGGGCAGGCUCUAGAAGGAAGGCUGUGGGUCUCUAGCUGUGAUGCUGACUGACCCCGGGCAGAUCGCUUCCCUUCUCUGGUCAUCCAACUCCUCAUCAGUUGAAAGAGGCAGUGGCUGCCAUUGUUCUUCAUGAUGUCCUGAGCGUGGUCUUUGAAUCCAGUGCAGAGCUGUUAGCAAGACGCUUCCUGAGGAAACACAGUGAAAUGCUUUGGAAUGAGAGACUGCUGUGUCAGUGAGGGUACGCUGUAUGGAACCUCAAGAUGGAUAGUGGAAGGGUCAGCUUAUUUACCCUAGAGCUCAGAGAGAAAAUGGACCACAGGAAACAUGCUGCAUACACCUGGACAGGACGUAACCAAGGAGACCAUGCAUGAAGAGCCGAGUCCUGAAACCUGCUUGCUCGGGGUGGAGCUUCCUGCUCAUUCGUUCUGCCACGCCCACUGCUGGAACCUGAGGAGCCACACACGUGCACCUUUCUACUGGACCAGAGAUUAUUCGGCGGGAAUCGGGUCCCCUCCCCCUUCCUUCAUAACUAGUGUCCCAACAAUAAAAUUUGAGCUUUGAUCAGAAUGAA
rnacentral:lncRNA from 1 species